UACAGUUUUCCUGUUUAUUCUGUUUUCUGUUUCGCCUGUACAAACUUGCGAUGGGGUUGUGGAUAUAAUCCUUCAGCCUUAUUUGGGGAGAAAAGUUACCUACCCAGACGAUUACCCGGUGAAAACAGGAUAUGAAGCAGGCAAGAACUGUUCCUGGAAAAUAUCUGCACCGAAAGGAUAUGUUGUAGUGGUUUAUCAGAAAUGGGUGUGUGAUGCUGAUGUAACUAUCGAUCUAUAUUAUGUUA